AUGUUGUAUAAAAGGCAACUUCUCUUUAACACUUCCCUUGACAAGGAUGGAAGAGGCCCUCUGGCCUUACAAUACCUUGAUGAUUUAGGCAUUGCCAUUUACUUAGGAAGGCUAUUGUGAUAUUUU
ensembl:snRNA predicted gene, 25309